GCGGGGACACGGCCUGGGGGGGCGGCCCACGGGGCCCGGGCAGGUCUCGGCCUCCCGGGGGGACCGUGAGGGCUCGGGAGAGGGUGAGGAGCCGCUUCGCUCCCGGAGAGAGGAGGUUGCGUCGGGGUUUUGUAAAAAGAGGGGGAGGGGUGGAAGCAAGAGUUGAAAGGGAAGUUAACAGGAUCCCGGUUACGCUGUAAGCCCGGAGACGCAUUAACACGUGGAUUGCUUUCUUCAUUAACUCUGACACGUCUCCUAGAACGGUGGUUCGGGAUAAAAUGCCACUUCCAAUAUUCGGAAUUACUCAUUCCGCUCUGCUCUGCCCUCAGCCCAUCCAUUCCGGCUCUGGCUGUACGGUAUAUUCCCGAAUACAAUGGCAUCGCCCCCAAAUACUCGAACUCCGCGCACAAACAAACAAACACUGAAUAAAGUUACAAACGAGAUUAUGGCCGGAGUUAUUUGUCCCUGCAGCAAGGCGUCAAUUGUUCUAACAGAUGUAGGGGCGCUAAGAGGAUUUAAACCACGCGAAUUUAAUAAACCAGAUUAGCAAUAGGUGCUUCCCACAGAUGCUGGGAACCGCACAGCACAUCCACUCCACGUUAUCUAUCGGAGCACAGCGCUGCUUGAGAGGGCUGCGGGACAUUUGCGAAGGAUGCGAGCGGGUUUCAUACAAGCACGGUCUGUCCCCUCGAAAACAAACUUUCUAUUCGCAUGGAAGCUCCCGCUGCACGCCCACGGGCACACGCACAGCAGUGGCUCAGACACACCGGGGGACGCAUUCCGGGAUGUUACCUGUUGUGGUGCCAUCGCUCCGCAGCGCUGCGCCGAAGGGGAGAGGGGAGCGGGCGAGGGCGGCGCGGGGCCCGGCGCACCUCGGGGCGGUGAUUGGAAGCAGACCCGGCCGGGCUGCAGCGGAUUUUCCCUCCCUCCGAGGGCUAAGAAGCCGAUUUGGGAGUUUGAAGGGAAUAGGUUUCAGCGUCCAUAUUUGUUCUGGUGCACUUGUAAAAUGCGAUUUGAAGAGGAUCUUUAGCUCUCUGAUUGUCUUUGUAUUGUUUUUCUUGAAACGGAUCUUUUGCCCUUAAUGAAUCCCCACACAGCUGGACAGCUCCUUCUCGGACACUGAGAGCGCUAACCCCAAACUGACCCCAAUUUGACACCACAAGAUGAAAUUUUACCGCCUGUUAAAACCAUUUCCAGCCCCGGCCAAAGGAGCUGGCUGUUGACUGAGAUGCACUUCCACACCGGACACCUCAUUUCUCUUUGGGCUUUGGGGCCGAUCUAAAAAGAAAAACAAAAAACAGAAAACCCAAAAAACGAUAAUAAAAAAAAAAGCCCAGCACGCACCGCACCUCCUCACCACUCACACUUGUCCUGGGAUCAGCCUCUGCCCUGAAAGUGAUGCACGAGAAAUGGAAAUUGGCCAAUUGAAUUUUCCCGAAUGGCCGUGUUUUACAAGAAAUACGGCGCAACGCUGAAAAUAAAAAUAAUAACAAUAAUAAUUAAAAAGUAAAUUAAAAAUGACCUAAGGACGUAGAAGCCCCCCAGCCCCGGGUGCACGGAUCCCAUUUCCCUCCGAGCUCCCAAAAGCAUCUUUGUUAGAGCUGCGUACUUUCACUGAAGGGCGCUGCACUGACAUUCUCUUUUAAUGGUCAAACUGUAGCGCUUUAUAACCGCGUUCUCUGCGUGCCUUAAUCCACUGGGAUAGUGAGGAGGAAAAAGGCUUCGACUCUUUUCAAGGAGAAAAAAAAAAGACACAAGAGGAACGUGAAAGCCCCCCCCCCCCCCCCCCCUCGUUUGCCAGAUGAAAUUUCACUUUCUCUCAAGUUAAAAAUCAUUUUUAAAAGUUGGUCCCUGUCCCACCCGCACAGCGGGGCGAGGCAGCGCGGGGGGGGUCGUUGGUUUGGGGAAUUAAAAAUAAAAGCCAAACUGAGCAAAUGAAAGGAGCAGCACAGAACGCUGCUAAAAAAAAAAUUCUUUGGCUGCUUUUUUUCUUUCUUUCUUUCUUUCCUUUCUUUCUUUCUUUUUUUUUUUUUUUUUUUUCUUCCCAGCUUGGAUUAUAGAUUGCUGGCUAACAAUUCUCUGCUCUGAAGAUUCGGACUUAAAGGAGCUCCUGUGAAAAACAGAAUUAUUAAAAAAUAAAAAAAUGAAAAAUAAAAGCGAGUCUAAAAUGAUAUCCUAAACAAUGACGUGCCUUCUGCUAUGGGAGCAAAGUCGUGUAAAAAAACUUCUCUUUGAGAAGAAGAGUGGUGAAGUUCUCUCCCAGUCUGAGCUCUGAGCAAACACACGGAGCCCUCAGCGGGACCGGAUUACCGUUGCACGGCCGCGGCACAGAGACAGAGCCCCUCUCGGUGCCACUGACCCUCUCGGAGCGAGGCGCGCUCGGGCACAGCAGGGGGCACGGCUGCAAAAUCCGUUUGGGAGCUGCAAAUAUUUACAACGCGUCCCUGAGGUUCCCGCAUGGGCUGCGUCGCCAUGAAGGGACGCCUCGGGAGUUUGGAACUCGGGCAUCCUUGUGGCGGGGUAGGGGGGUUGGGGGGUGGGGGGAAGAGAGAAGAAAAAAAUAAUCGCAAGAAAACAAAUAGCAUUCACCGCUGAGCAGAUCUCUCAAAAAUCUGUUCGAAACGUACAGCUGUAAAAGUAGGAAAAGAUUUGCAUAACCUCCUGCUCUGUAGGUCUCCGCGCACCCAAAGGAUUAGCCGAGCAUUCAUUACCAUGAAUAUCCUGAAUUACGUUCCCGAUUUAUACGACGGAGUAUAAAAUACUGCACGAGCGUCCCCUCUUUUCCCUGCGAAACGCAUCGACUUCACCACUGCUCGAAAGAGAUCUGCACACUGAGGGCUUUCUACUCACCUCUCCUCCCAGUCCCGGGAAAGCCAGGCGCAGCCAUUCGGUUGCUCUUAGGAUUUAGCUCUAAUCUCGGAGGAGAUCCUCUCAGAAAAGCACCGCGGGGUCGUGCCCGGCUCCGGGCCGCGAACGAGGGCAGCUCCGGCCGACACCGGGGCCGACACCGGGGCCGCUUCUCCCCUUCUCCAGCCCGCAGCCGCCGGGCCGGGUGCUGCCGGAGCUCGGGGGAUGCCCACUGGCGUCCGUCAGCCCCACGCUAUCUUUCUUUAUAUGUGAGGGCUGAUUUCCCGCAGACAUCAUUGUUAUGAUGGCUCAUUUAAUCAAACUGUUUAAUUGCUCCGGUAAUCACUAUCAUCAUCACAGGUACUCAAUCAUUCAUCAUUUUGGAGGGCUUUAUUGACCUCUGGAGCUCAUUCCCCGCUCCUAUUAAAAUCAGGCCAAAUAUCUGCAACUGCCCCUGAGUCAUUUUCUUAAAGUUAAAAAAAAAAACAAAAAAAGUUAAAAUCAUCACUCUCAUCCUGAAAAGCAACGCAAAACACGCCAACCCCUACCCGAACAAAUCACAUCAUUCUUAUUUUUUUUUUUUCCUGCCGUGUAUUUCUAAAAGCCACCUAUGUACGAGGCCACAUUCACCACCGGGUACACAAUCAUUGAUAAAUCCCGCUAUUAACGGGAUAGUCUGGUUUAGAUUUUAUGUGCAGGGGACCGUGAACGAGGCUGGGGGCUGGGGAGGACAAAACUGCAGCGAUCGAUAGUCGGAGGCUCGCUCCUCCCCUCACUGGAGGCGCCCCGUGAUUGAUGAGCCCGGGGAGCGCCGGUAAUUGACUGCGCUAGGGUAAGGCAUGCUCGGGCUGAGCGCGGCGAUUGGCCGAGGGAGCAUACCAAAAUUACCGCGUGUGUGCGCGUGUGUUUGGAAAAGUUCAUCUGGUGCUCGGGGCUGGGGGUGCAUCCUCUCACUUCAUUUGCCAAACCGUCCUCCUGUAAUUAGCGCUCCCGUUAGAGGCAUUACCGGGCUCACACCCCGGCGCGCAUCCCGUCGAGGUACGGCAAAGUCCACGGACGCGCCCACGCGAGUCCGCCGCUGCCCGCCGGCUCCGCUCGGAGGGAACGCGUACAGCGGCCGCGGCACAUCUGGGUCUCUCCCGGCAGAGCCGGGCCGACCUCCGUUCCGAGCCCCUCUCCCACGCUCCGUUGGCAGCCCAGAAAGGGAUUCCCCUUCC
rnacentral:lncRNA from 1 species